rnacentral:rRNA from 1 species
AUUGAACGCUGGCGGCAGGCCUAACACAUGCAAGUCGAGCGGAUGAAGGGAGCUUGCUCCUGGAUUCAGCGGCGGACGGGUGAGUAAUGCCUAGGAAUCUGCCUGGCAGUGGGGGAUAACGUCCGGAAACGGGCGCUAAUACCGCAUACGUCCUGAGGGAGAAAGUGGGGGAUCUUCGGACCUCACGCUAUCAGAUGAGCCUAGGUCGGAUUAGCUAGUUGGUGGGGUAAAGGCCUACCAAGGCGACGAUCCGUAACUGGUCUGAGAGGAUGAUCAGUCACACUGGAACUGAGACACGGUCCAGACUCCUACGGGAGGCAGCAGUGGGGAAUAUUGGACAAUGGGCGAAAGCCUGAUCCAGCCAUGCCGCGUGUGUGAAGAAGGUCUUCGGAUUGUAAAGCACUUUAAGUUGGGAGGAAGGGCAGUAAGUUAAUACCUUGCUGUUUUGACGGUACCAACAGAAUAAGCACCGGCUAACUUCGUG